rnacentral:rRNA from 1 species
UUGUUCCUACGGGAGGCAGCAGUGGGGAAUAUUGCACAAUGGGGGAAACCCUGAUGCAGCAACGCCGCGUGAGUGAAGAAGUAUUUCGGUAUGUAAAGCUCUAUCAGCAGGGAAGAGAAUGACGGUACCUGACUAAGAAGCCCCGGCUAACUACGUGCCAGCAGCCGCGGUAAUACGUAGGUGGCAAGCGUUGUCCGGAUUUACUGGGUGUAAAGGGCGUGCAGCCGGAGAGACAAGUCAGAUGUGAAAUCCGCAGGCUCAACCUGCGAACUGCAUUUGACACUGUUUCCCUUGAGUAUCGGAGG